rnacentral:ncRNA from 1 species
UUACAGGUCUUGGUCUUAACCUACUACUGUCUAUACUCUUUACUUAUACAUGCAUGCCUCAACAGAACAGUGAAACAGCCCACCACAAUCACCCAACGGAGCCGGUAUCAGGUAACCGCCCAUGACACCAAGCAACCAAGCCACACCCCCACGGGCCCGCAGCAGUACUUAAUAUUGGGCAAUAAACGUAAGCUUGACCCAAUAAUAGAGCCCCAAGAGCCGGUUAAUCUCGUGCCAGCGACCGCGGUUACACGACAGACUCAAGACAACACCACCGGCGUAAAGCACGACUAAAACCUCAAGGUCCCCUUGUUAGGGGUGAAGACCCCCCAGGCUGUAAAAAGCCAUAAGCCAUACUAAACCCACAACCCUAACACCAAAACAACUUCAACUCGUGAAAGCCAGGACACAAACUAAGAUUAGAUACCUUACUAUGCCCGGCCAUAACAAAACAAUCAAAUAACUAAUUGUUCGCCAAAUAACUACGAGUAAAAACUUAAAAUUUAAAAGACUUGACGGUACUUCACACCGACCUAGAGGAGCCUGUCCAAUAACCGAUAAUCCACGAUUAACCCAACCCACUCUAGCCCAACAGUCUAUAUACCGCCGUCGCCAGCUUACCUUGUAAAAGAGAUAAAGUAAGCUAAAUAACUAUCACGCUAACACGACAGGUCAAGGUGUAACUAAUGAGUCGGAAUAAGAUGGGCUACAUUUUCUAACCUAGAAAAAACGAACAGACUAUGAAACUAGAAACUGAAGGCGGAUUUAGCAGUAAGCCGGGAAUAAACAUACCCCACUGAAAACAACGCAAUGAAGUGCGCACACACCGCCCGUCAUCCCUGUAAAAUAUACAACUCAUCCAUAAACCCACUAUUCCAUCAAAACAGGGCAAGUCGUAACAAGGUAAGCGUAC